rnacentral:rRNA from 1 species
GACGAACGCUGGCGGCGUGCUUAGCAAAUGCAAGUCGAACGGUAAGGCCCUUUCGGGGGUACACGAGUGGCGAACGGGUGAGUAACACGUGGGUGAUCUGCCCUGCACUUUGGGAUAAGCACGGGAAACUGGGUCUAAUACCGGAUAGGACUACGCACUGCAUGGUGUGUGGUGGAAAGCGUUUGCGGUGUGGGAUGGGCCCGGGGCCUAUCAGCUUGUUGGUGGGGGGAUGGCCUACCAAGGCGACGACGGGUAGCCGGCCUGAGGGGGUGUCCGGCGACACUGGGACGGAGAGACGGACCAGACUCCAACGGGAGGCAGCGGUGGCGAAUAUUGCACAAUGGGCGCAAGCCUGAUGCAGCGACGCCGCGUGAGGGAUGACGGCCUUCGGGUUGUAAACCUCUUUCGGUAAGGACGAAGCGGAAGUGACGGUACCUAUAGAAGAAGGACCGGCCAACUACGUGCCAGCCGCCGCGGUAAAAC